rnacentral:rRNA from 1 species
UGGGGAAUAUUGCACAAUGGGCGCAAGCCUGAUGCAGCCAUGCCGCGUGUGUGAAGAAGGCCUUCGGGUUGUAAAGCACUUUCAGCGGGGAGGAAGGCGUUAAGGUUAAUAACCUUGGCGAUUGACGUUACCCGCAGAAGAAGCACCGGCUAACUCCGUGCCAGCAGCCGCGGUAAUACGGAGGGUGCAAGCGUUAAUCGGAAUUACUGGGCGUAAAGCGCACGCAGGCGGUUUGUUAAGUCAGAUGUGAAAUCCCCGGGCUCAACCUGGGAACUGCAUCUGAUACUGGCAAGCUUGAGUCUCGUAGAGGGGGGUAGAAUUCCAGGUGUAGCGGUGAAAUGCGUAGAGAUCUGGAGGAAUACCGGUGGCGAAGGCGGCCCCCUGGACGAAGACUGACGCUCAGGUGCGAAAGCGUGGGGAGCAAACAGG